rnacentral:rRNA from 1 species
AGCGUACACGGUGGAUGCCCUGGCAGUCAGAGGCGAUGAAGGACGUGCUAAUCUGCGAUAAGCGUCGGUAAGGUGAUAUGAACCGUUAUAACCGGCGAUUUCCGAAUGGGGAAACCCAGUGUGAUUCGUCACACUAUCAUUAACUGAAUCCAUAGGUUAAUGAGGCGAACCGGGGGAACUGAAACAUCUAAGUACCCCGAGGAAAAGAAAUCAACCGAGAUUCCCCCAGUAGCGGCGAGCGAACGGGGAGCAGCCCAGAGCCUGAAUCAGUGUGUGUGUUAGUGGAAGCGUCUGGAAAGGCGCGCGAUACAGGGUGACAGCCCCGUACACAAAAAUGCACAUACUGUGAGCUCGAUGAGUAGGGCGGGACACGUGGUAUCCUGUCUGAAUAUGGGGGGACCAUCCUCCAAGGCUAAAUACUCCUGACUGACCGAUAGUGAACCAGUACCGUGAGGGAAAGGCGAAAAGAACCCCGGCGAGGGGAGUGAAAAAGAACCUGAAACCGUGUACGUACAAGCAGUGGGAGCACGCUUAGGCGUGUGACUGCGUACCUUUUGUAUAAUGGGUCAGCGACUUAUAUUCUGUAGCAAGGUUAACCGAAUAGGGGAGCCGAAGGGAAACCGAGUCUUAACUGGGCGUUAAGUUGCAGGGUAUAGACCCGAAACCCGGUGAUCUAGCCAUGGGCAGGUUGAAGGUUGGGUAACACUAACUGGAGGACCGAACCGACUAAUGUUGAAAAAUUAGCGGAUGACUUGUGGCUGGGGGUGAAAGGCCAAUCAAACCGGGAGAUAGCUGGUUCUCCCCGAAAGCUAUUUAGGUAGCGCCUCGUGAAUUCAUCUCCGGGGGUAGAGCACUGUUUCGGCAAGGGGGUCAUCCCGACUUACCAACCCGAUGCAAACUGCGAAUACCGGAGAAUGUUAUCACGGGAGACACACGGCGGGUGCUAACGUCCGUCGUGAAGAGGGAAACAACCCAGACCGCCAGCUAAGGUCCCAAAGUCAUGGUUAAGUGGGAAACGAUGUGGGAAGGCCCAGACAGCCAGGAUGUUGGCUUAGAAGCAGCCAUCAUUUAAAGAAAGCGUAAUAGCUCACUGGUCGAGUCGGCCUGCGCGGAAGAUGUAACGGGGCUAAACCAUGCACCGAAGCUGCGGCAGCGACGCUGAUGCGUUGUUGGGUAGGGGAGCGUUCUGUAAGCCUGUGAAGGUGUGCUGUGAGGCAUGCUGGAGGUAUCAGAAGUGCGAAUGCUGACAUAAGUAACGAUAAAGCGGGUGAAAAGCCCGCUCGCCGGAAGACCAAGGGUUCCUGUCCAACGUUAAUCGGGGCAGGGUGAGUCGACCCCUAAGGCGAGGCCGAAAGGCGUAGUCGAUGGGAAACAGGUUAAUAUUCCUGUACUUGGUGUUACUGCGAAGGGGGGACGGAGAAGGCUAUGUUGGCCGGGCGACGGUUGUCCCGGUUUAAGCGUGUAGGCUGGUUUUCCAGGCAAAUCCGGAAAAUCAAGGCUGAGGCGUGAUGACGAGGCACUACGGUGCUGAAGCAACAAAUGCCCUGCUUCCAGGAAAAGCCUCUAAGCAUCAGGUAACAUCAAAUCGUACCCCAAACCGACACAGGUGGUCAGGUAGAGAAUACCAAGGCGCUUGAGAGAACUCGGGUGAAGGAACUAGGCAAAAUGGUGCCGUAACUUCGGGAGAAGGCACGCUGAUAUGUAGGUGAAGUCCCUCGCGGAUGGAGCUGAAAUCAGUCGAAGAUACCAGCUGGCUGCAACUGUUUAUUAAAAACACAGCACUGUGCAAACACGAAAGUGGACGUAUACGGUGUGACGCCUGCCCGGUGCCGGAAGGUUAAUUGAUGGGGUCAGCGCAAGCGAAGCUCUUGAUCGAAGCCCCGGUAAACGGCGGCCGUAACUAUAACGGUCCUAAGGUAGCGAAAUUCCUUGUCGGGUAAGUUCCGACCUGCACGAAUGGCGUAAUGAUGGCCAGGCUGUCUCCACCCGAGACUCAGUGAAAUUGAACUCGCUGUGAAGAUGCAGUGUACCCGCGGCAAGACGGAAAGACCCCGUGAACCUUUACUAUAGCUUGACACUGAACAUUGAGCCUUGAUGUGUAGGAUAGGUGGGAGGCUUUGAAGUGUGGACGCCAGUCUGCAUGGAGCCGGCCUUGAAAUACCACCCUUUAAUGUUUGAUGUUCUAACGUUGACCCGUGAUCCGGGUUGCGGACAGUGUCUGGUGGGUAGUUUGACUGGGGCGGUCUCCUCCUAAAGAGUAACGGAGGAGCACGAAGGUUGGCUAAUCCUGGUCGGACAUCAGGAGGUUAGUGCAAUGGCAUAAGCCAGCUUGACUGCGAGCGUGACGGCGCGAGCAGGUGCGAAAGCAGGUCAUAGUGAUCCGGUGGUUCUGAAUGGAAGGGCCAUCGCUCAACGGAUAAAAGGUACUCCGGGGAUAACAGGCUGAUACCGCCCAAGAGUUCAUAUCGACGGCGGUGUUUGGCACCUCGAUGUCGGCUCAUCACAUCCUGGGGCUGAAGUAGGUCCCAAGGGUAUGGCUGUUCGCCAUUUAAAGUGGUACGCGAGCUGGGUUUAGAACGUCGUGAGACAGUUCGGUCCCUAUCUGCCGUGGGCGCUGGAGAACUGAGGGGGGCUGCUCCUAGUACGAGAGGACCGGAGUGGACGCAUCACUGGUGUUCGGGUUGUCAUGCCAAUGGCACUGCCCGGUAGCUAAAUGCGGAAGAGAUAAGUGCUGAAAGCAUCUAAGCACGAAACUUGCCCCGAGAUGAGUUCUCCCUGACUCCUUGA